AGAGGUUGAUGGAUCUCUCCCUAAAAUUUGGUGGACUCACGACACUCGUGGCACACCAAUCUUACUUCCCGAACCCUAGGUAGAAACCCUAGGGUACACACCAAAAACCCUGCGCCCAAUUUUCUUUCUUUUCUUUAUUUUUUUCUCAGAAGGUUUUGGAUCUUCACCUCAUGCACAAGGCUUCCUCAUGCCCCACUUUCUUUCUCAAAAUUUUUCUACGCACACCCC
rnacentral:lncRNA from 1 species